rnacentral:rRNA from 1 species
GACGAACGCUGGCGGUGUGCUUAACACAUGCAAGUCGAACGGUAAGGCCCUUUCGGGGGUACACGAGUGGCGAACGGGUGAGUAACACGUGAGUAACCUGCCCUCAUCUCUGGGAUAACAGUCGGAAACGGUUGCUAAUACUGGAUAUGAGCUUGCAAGGCAUCUUGUGGGUUGGAAAGAUUUUUUUUGGUUGGGGAUGGACUCGCGGCCUAUCAGCUUGUUGGUGAGGUAGUGGCUCACCAAGGCUUCGACGGGUAGCCGGCCUGAGAGGGCGACCGGCCACAUUGGGACUGAGAUACGGCCCAAACUCCUACGGGAGGCAGCAGUGGGGAAUAUUGCACAAUGGACGGAAGUCUGAUGCAGCAACGCCGCGUGCGGGAUGACGGCCUUCGGGUUGUAAACCGCUUUCAAUUGUGACGAAGUUUUUUUGUGACGGUAGCAGUAGAAGAAGCACCGGCUAACUACGUG